GUGGGAGCUUGCCGGAGUUAACCGCUGGAGCUGCGGCUGUGCUGUACUUAGUUUCUUGUCGGUACAAGUAGCUGUGGUUGCCGCAAAAGUGGUUUAGAGCUGAGGAUGAGACUGCCGCGUUGUGGGCCGAGAGAAAAACUGAGUUUAUCGUGUAGCUAAGUCGUAAACUGAGUUUUACCUUUUCAGGAACCGGAUGAAGAAGCAUUAAGAAGAGUUAUACUACG